UACGUAGGGUGCAAGCGUUGUCCGGAAUUAUUGGGCGUAAAGAGCUCGUAGGCGGUUCGUCGCGUCGGCUGUGAAAACCUGAGGCUCAACCUCAGGCCUGCAGUCGAUACGGGCGGACUUGAGUACUGCAGGGGAGACUGGAAUUCCUGGUGUAGCGGUGAAAUGCGCAGAUAUCAGGAGGAACACCGACGGCGAAGGCAGGUCUCUGGGCAUUAACUGACGCUGAGGAGCGAAAGCAUGGGGAGCGAACAGG
rnacentral:rRNA from 1 species